rnacentral:rRNA from 1 species
GGAAACGGGUGCUAAUACCGCAUAAUAUCUUCUUCCGCAUGGAAGAAGAUUGAAAGACGGCCCUGCUGUCACUUAUAGAUGACCUUGCGGUGCAUUAGUUAGUUGGUGGGGUAACGGCCUACCAAGACGAUGAUGCAUAGCCGACCUGAGAGGGUGAUCGGCCACAUUGGGACUGAGACACGGCCCAA